rnacentral:rRNA from 1 species
CCUACGGGAGGCAGCAGUGAGGAAUAUUGGUCAAUGGGCGCUAGCCUGAACCAGCCAAGUCGCGUGAAGGAUGACUGCCCUAUGGGUUGUAAACUUCUUUUAUAUGGGAAUAAAGUGCAUUAUGUAUACUGCUUUGCAUGUACCUUAUGAAUAAGGAUCGGCUAACUCCGUGCCAGCAGCCGCGGUAAUACGGAGGAUCCGAGCGUUAUCCGAAUUUAUUGGGGUUAAAGGGAGCGUAGGGGGGUUGUUAAGUUAGUUGUGAAAGUUUGAGGCUCAACCGUAAAAUUGCAGUUGAUACUGGCAUCCUUGAGUACAGUAGAGGUAGGCGGAAUUCGUGGUGUAGCGGUGAAAUGCUUAGAGAUCACGAAGAACCCCGAGUGCGAAGGCAGCCUGCUGGACUGUAACUGACGCUGAGGCUCGAAAGGGUGGGUAUCAAACAGGAUUAGAUACCCUGGUAGUC